CCAAAGGCACGUGUCGUUGGCUAAGCCCUCGCGGCGGACGAGCCGCGCGGGCCGCCUUGAAUUACAAUUUCCACCGGGCGGCGGACUGAAUCCUUUGCAGACGACUUAAAUACGCGACGGGGUAUUGUAAGUGGCAGAGUGGCCUUGCUGCCACGAUCCACUGAGAUUCAGCCUUCGUCGCUCCGAUUCGU
rnacentral:ncRNA from 1 species